AUAAUUUCGAGAAAAAUUAGAAUCCUGCGCUCCAAUUAAUCGCCGCAGAAAGAUAUCGUCGCAAUGGAAAAGUAUAGAUGAGAGAGUAGAGUAGGCUUAGAAAAAAUCAAACUGAAGUUGUCUGUCAGUUUAACAAAAUCGUGAUAAUGCGCUCUGUACAGAAAUGGCGACGACGGCCACGACUUCUUCCGGAAUGACCGGAAAGACGACGUUGGCUGGACAAUCCGCGUGUGGACGAAGCAGCUGUUGAAGUGACGGAGUUGUCGGUGCGAAAAUGUGACGGCUACCCCGGGACCUACUGUGGGCAGCGUGCUGUCUGUACUAUGCCGUAUCCAAGUCCUAUGUAGAGUCAAGUGUCGAGGAUGUCGGAACCCGCAUCGGGUCAAUGGCAGGAAGGUCCGCCCUCACAUUCUAGAGCUGCAGAACCUAGAGAUCAACAACGCAACAGCCAGCGAGGCAUUCUCCAUAGUCACGACCACCGUACUGGCGCCUUAAUCCACCAGCGAUGCAAACCCGGUAGUCGGUUCUGGCCCGGGAGGUGGCCAAAGUUUACGACAAGCUUACUCACAAAAAAAGAUACAAAUUGAAUGUAAUAUGAACUGUAAGAGAACAAUUUUUAAACGAAA